rnacentral:rRNA from 1 species
GAUUAUGGCUCAGGAUGAACGCUAGCGGCAGGCUUAACACAUGCAAGUCGAGGGGCAACGCGAGUAGCAAUACUUGGCGGCGACCGGCGCAAGGGUGCGUAACGCGUGAGCAACAUGCCCGUAUCAGGGGGAUAAUCCAGGGAAACUUGGUCUAAUACCCCAUAGUAAUUUUGUAAGGCAUCUUAUAAGAUUUAAAGCUUUGGUGGAUACGGAUUGGCUCGCGUGACAUUAGCUGGAUGGUAAGGUAACGGCUUACCAUGGCUAUGAUGUCUAGGGGUUCUGAGAGGAAGGUCCCCCACACUGGAACUGAGACACGGUCCAGACUCCUACGGGAGGCAGCAGUGAGGAAUAUUGGACAAUGGAUGGAAAUCUGAUCCAGCCAUGCCGCGUGAAAGGAAGAAGGUCCUAUGGAUUGUAAACUUCUUUUGUAUGGGAGCAAUAAGGCCUACGAGUAGGUUGAUGAGAGUACCAUACGAAUAAGCACCGGCUAACUCCGUGCCAGCAGCAGC